rnacentral:rRNA from 1 species
GACAGAGGGUGCAAACGUUGCUCGGAAUCACUGGGCGUAAAGGGCGUGUAGGCGGGACAGUAAGUCGGGCGUGAAAUCCCUGGGCUCAACCCAGGAACUGCACUCGAAACUACUAUUCUUGAGUGUCGGAGAGGAAAGCGGAAUUCCUGGUGUAGAGGUGAAAUCGUAGAUAUCAGGAGGAACACCAGUGGCGAAGGCGGCUUUCUGGACGAUAACUG